UUGCUAUCUGCAAUUUAUAAGAUUCGAACCUGCAGCAGGUCGAGUCGAACGCAGUGAGACAACGGAGCCGUUUACGGCGACGGCCCGAAGGGCGAGCGAAGCGAGUCAUCCUGCACGACCCACCA
rnacentral:sRNA from 37 species